CCUUUCCUUCCUCUGGAUUCUGCCCACUGCGGCUGGAAGCAAGGGUGAAAGCUGGGGGGAUGCAGAGGCUUGGGGACAGGCUUGUCCCCACCAUGUCCCCAUGGCCGCUGGCCUGUCCCAGCAGUGGCUCUUUCGGGUCUCCGGAGCUGUGUGUGCCCUGGUGCUGAGCUGCAGGUGGGAGCGCCAGCUCUGAGCCUUGAGCCGGUCCAGUUUGUUCCUAGAAGUGCCAGCAUGGAUGACCGUGACCCAGCCUCAGGCUGCCUACACGAGAAAAAGAGGCU
rnacentral:lncRNA from 1 species